GAAUUUAUUCCUUCAGUUCGGCUGGGAGGUGCACAGGUGCUGCAUGGCUGUCGUCAGCUCGUGUCGUGAGAUGUUGGGUUAAGUCCCGCAACGAGCGCAACCCUCAUCCUCUGUUGCUAACAGGUAAUGCUGAGAACUCUGAGGAAACUGCCGGUGAUAAGCCGGAGGAAGGUGGGGAUGACGUCAGGUCCUCAUGGCCCUUACGGCCUGGGCUACACACGUGUUACAAUGGCGGUGACAACGGGCUGCAACCUUGCAAGAGGAAGCGAAUCUCAAAAAGCCGCCUCAGUUUGGAUUGCACUCUGCAACUCGAGUGCAUGAAAUUGGAAUCGCUAGUAAU
rnacentral:rRNA from 1 species